rnacentral:rRNA from 1 species
AGAGUUUGAUCAUGGCUCAGAUUGAACGCUGGCGGCAGGCCUAACACAUGCAAGUCGAGCGGAAACGAGUUAUCUGAACCUUCGGGGAACGAUAACGGCGUCGAGCGGCGGACGGGUGAGUAAUGCCUAGGAAAUUGCCCUGAUGUGGGGGAUAACCAUUGGAAACGAUGGCUAAUACCGCAUGAUGCCUACGGGCCAAAGAGGGGGACCUUCGGGCCUCUCGCGUCAGGAUAUGCCUAGGUGGGAUUAGCUAGUUGGUGAGGUAAGGGCUCACCAAGGCGACGAUCCCUAGCUGGUCUGAGAGGAUGAUCAGCCACACUGGAACUGAGACACGGUCCAGACUCCUACGGGAGGCAGCAGUGGGGAAUAUUGCACAAUGGGCGCAAGCCUGAUGCAGCCAUGCCGCGUGUGUGAAGAAGGCCUUCGGGUUGUAAAGCACUUUCAGUCGUGAGGAAGGUAGUGUAGUUAAUAGCUGCAUUAUUUGACGUUAGCGACAGAAGAAGCACCGGCUAACUCCGUGCCAGCAGCCGCGGUAAUACGGAGGGUGCGAGCGUUAAUCGGAAUUACUGGGCGUAAAGCGCAUGCAGGUGGUUUGUUAAGUCAGAUGUGAAAGCCCGGGGCUCAACCUCGGAAUAGCAUUUGAAACUGGCAGACUAGAGUACUGUAGAGGGGGGUAGAAUUUCAGGUGUAGCGGUGAAAUGCGUAGAGAUCUGAAGGAAUACCGGUGGCGAAGGCGGCCCCCUGGACAGAUACUGACACUCAGAUGCGAAAGCGUGGGGAGCAAACAGGAUUAGAUACCCUGGUAGUCCACGCCGUAAACGAUGUCUACUUGGAGGUUGUGGCCUUGAGCCGUGGCUUUCGGAGCUAACGCGUUAAGUAGACCGCCUGGGGAGUACGGUCGCAAGAUUAAAACUCAAAUGAAUUGACGGGGGCCCGCACAAGCGGUGGAGCAUGUGGUUUAAUUCGAUGCAACGCGAAGAACCUUACCUACUCUUGACAUCCAGAGAACUUUCCAGAGAUGGAUUGGUGCCUUCGGGAACUCUGAGACAGGUGCUGCAUGGCUGUCGUCAGCUCGUGUUGUGAAAUGUUGGGUUAAGUCCCGCAACGAGCGCAACCCUUAUCCUUGUUUGCCAGCGAGUAAUGUCGGGAACUCCAGGGAGACUGCCGGUGAUAAACCGGAGGAAGGUGGGGACGACGUCAAGUCAUCAUGGCCCUUACGAGUAGGGCUACACACGUGCUACAAUGGCGCAUACAGAGGGCAGCCAACUUGCGAAAGUGAGCGAAUCCCAAAAAGUGCGUCGUAGUCCGGAUUGGAGUCUGCAACUCGACUCCAUGAAGUCGGAAUCGCUAGUAAUCGUGGAUCAGAAUGCCACGGUGAAUACGUUCCCGGGCCUUGUACACACCGCCCGUCACACCAUGGGAGUGGGCUGCAAAAGAAGUAGGUAGUUUAACCUUCGGGGGGACGCUUACCACUUUGUGGUUCAUGACUGGGGUGAAGUCGUAACAAGGUAGCGCUAGGGGAACCUGGCGCUG